ACGUGCGUGAGAAAGCGUGAAGAGUCAGUCCACAGUCCGCAGCGGUAGACUUUGCUUUAGACUAAACCCUAAACCCUAAACCCUAAACCCUUGCACUCCCUUUUUACGGCGAUGAUGGUGAGCGACGGCGAUGACGGGAUAGGUUUGAAAUUGAUGAAAUGUGCUGCGAUUGAAUGCUGCAAACCCAUUUGGUCAAUUAGCAUUUCGUUUGGGGUUUAGAUCUUGGGGGAGGAUAAUGGUAUUAAGGUUGUUAAUUUGAGGCGUUUUGUGAGAGGGCGUGGUCGAAGCAUGAAGUUCAUAAGCCAUUUUUGCCUCAUGGAGAAGCUUGUGGAGCUUCUGGAGGCACUGACUUGAAUGGUGGCUCUCCGUUGUUGGCAACAAUGGAUGCUUGGACGGAAACUUGGACAAACAUUCUAUUUCUGAGUUUCUUACAUUACGGUCGGAGUAGUUUUCUCCAAGAGGACAACGUUCGGUUACCAUGGUGUUUUCUUCCCUUGUUAACAAUAUUCAUUUCUGGUAAUCAGGAAGCUUAUAUGCGUGUAUACAGUUUCCUGAAGUUUCAUCGGCGACGUUUUUCCGGACAUUUUCGUUCAAGGCUCUGUUAGAUGAUCUCGUCCAGAGUCGUGGCUUAUCGGUUUCAUGUUCUGCUUGAGUAAGAAACCGAGCUGUACUGCAGGUUAAUUAUAUGGACAUAACUGUGAUCAGAUCCUUGCAAUGUGGUCUCUAAUUAUUGCGUUACAGUAACUCGAUACCAAUGAAGUCGAGAACUGCAGUUUUCUCAUACAUCCAUGGUGCAUAAGAUUUGAGAAGGCUCAGCUCUAAAUAGGUACGUUGUUUUUACUAUUAUCCUUUUUUCUAUUGUUGAGAAAUUGAUGUUGCAGGUUUGAAAUACGAAAAACGCUUCGAACAUCCUUCCCGUCUUGCAGCUUUGAAAUACAAAUUGAUCUUGGUGUGUUCCUUUGGGAAUGGGUUUCCACAGGCACAGCAGAAAUAGUUCAGGAAUUACUAAAUAUGGGUCUAUAGGGAUGCAUUCAAUCCU